AUUUAAGAGAAAUUAUGAAAUGUGAGACUUUAUUUUGCCAUGUAAGGAAAGGGUUUUGGAAAAAUAACUACCAUCUUCCAUCACUAUCACUUUAGGACCCCCUCCUCCCUCCAUAUUUAGGAAAAACAUAAACUUAGAAUAAGAGAGAGUUCAACUUAAGUUGAAUGACUUUAAAUUGAUGGAAAAAUUACUCCACUAUUCUUUUCUCAUUUACUCUGGAUCACUGAAAACUUCAUCAAGGGGAAGUAUCAGUCUAGAGACUUAUCAGUUGAAAAGUGUUGUGAUACAGUUGCUGAAAGGUCUAAUGUAAUUAUAAAAUUAUUAUUGACUAGAGGGUGUAAUAAACCACAUGCACUCUGAUACUAAGACUAAAACUUUUAUAUUACUGUGUUAAAUUGUAAGUGCCACAUAUCAAGAGGGACAUGAACUGUAGUGUUCAUAGGAAGGCACACAGCAUGUAGAAAGGCUUGAGUGGAAUGCAGAGGUAUUGGUGAUAUUUAUUUUGGAGUAAAUAAAGAGAGGUGGUUUUCUUCAGACAUUUGAGUGACUGCCAUAUAUAAGAAGGAAUAGAAUUGUUCUGUCUUAUUCUAGGUGGACAAAUGAAUUAUAAGAAAUGAAAGUUCUGGUUCCACAUUUAAGGUUCCGUAUGAGAAUUUCUAAAUGAAAAUCGGCCCUUUCCUCAUAAAAUCAUUUGAAGUAUUCAAACAAAAGCCAAAUCAGUGGUUUUCAAAGUAGAAUCCCUAUACUAUCAGCAUCACUGGGGCAUAUUACCUGUAUAGACCUGAAAUUAUGGAUCACCGAGCUGAAAAACAGCCAAUAAUCUCAAUACUCCAGAGGAAAUGAAAACUAAUUCUUGUUCUCACAAAGGUAUCCUUAAAUCAUCAAAUUACUUGGCACAUGGCUAAAAUCAAUAACUGCUGAAAUAAAUCAAGAGGUCAAUGAGAUCAAUGAAGAACAUCCUUUUCCUGAUGUCUUCUUCUCAUGUCUGGUUGACUGGAAAAGUAUGGGCUGAGAAGAUAAAUGGGACCAUCCUGCUUGGCUUAAACCAACUAAUGAAUCACACCUCUGGGACUGGAAGAAAAGGUCCCAUUUGCAGUAGGAGCAAAAACAAUAAAAUACCAAGCAAUAGGC
ensembl:lncRNA